rnacentral:rRNA from 1 species
GAUGAACGCUAGCUACAGGCUUAACACAUGCAAGUCGAGGGGCAGCGGGGAUCUAGCUUGCUAGAUUUGCCGGCGACCGGCGCACGGGUGAGUAACACGUAUCCAACCUGGCCCAUACUCGGGUAUAGCCUCUCGAAAGGGAGAUUAAUCCCCGAUGUUGUUGUUUCACCGCAUGGUGUACCAACCAAAGAAUUUCGGUAUGGGAUGGGGAUGCGUUCCAUUAGCUUGUUGGCGGGGUAACGGCCCACCAAGGCGACGAUGGAUAGGGGUUCUGAGAGGAAGGUCCCCCACACUGGAACUGAGACACGGUCCAGACUCCUACGGGAGGCAGCAGUGAGGAAUAUUGGUCAAUGGGCGAGAGCCUGAACCAGCCAAGUAGCGUGAAGGAUGACUGCCCUACGGGUUGUAAACUUCUUUUGUUUGGGAAUAAAGUUCAGCACGUGUGCUGUUUUGUAUGUACCAUUCGAAUAAGCAUCGGCUAAUUCCGUGCCAGCAGCCGCAGUAAAAC